AAUGAACGCUGGCGGCAUGCCUAACACAUGCAAGUCGAACGAGACCUCCGGGACUUGUGGCGCCCGGGUGUGUAACGGGUCGGAACCUUCACUUAGGGUCGGAAUAACUCCCCGAAAGGGGUGCUAAUACCGGAUAAUGUCUUCGGACCAAAGAUUUAUCGACUUUGGUUGUGCCCGCGUUGGAUUAGCUUGUUGGUAGGGUAAAAGCCUACCAAGGCGACGAUCCAUAGCUGGUCAGAGAGGAUGGUCAGCGACACUGGGACGAGGACACGGCCCAGAAUCCUACGGGAAGGGGGAGUGGGGGAUAUUGGACAAUGGGCUAAGGCCUGAAGGAGUACGGCCGGGAAAGCGAUGUAGGUCGUAGAGAUGAAAAGCUCUUUUACCCGUGAUGGUAAUGACGGUACCGAGAGAAUAAGCUCCGGCUAACUCCGUG
rnacentral:rRNA from 1 species